CCAAAGAGAAUAUGGGAAUCUUCGAACCCUUCAUAGCGAUCGGCUACACAACCACCUCCGUCCCCUUCUCCGUUCAGCGCCUCGGCACGGAAGCCUUCGUCACUGUCAGCGUCGGCAGAGCCUUCCAAAUUUACAAUUGCGCAAUGAAAGCUCUCCCGUCCUCGUUGGUGAGUUCCUUUCUCUUGUUUUGGUUUUCGAAUUUCUAAAUUUCUACGCUUUAUGACAAAGAAGAAUACUUUUUUGUAUUGUUAGAUAAAAACUUCACUGCAUUUUGCUGUGUUUUCAGGGUGUUUGGAUCAAGUUGUGUGGUUAUGCGAACUCUGUUUGCUUUCAUUUCUGAAGGUUCGCAAUUUUCGUUACAUUACUUUUUUCUUUUGUACACAAUUAGGUUGUCAAACUCUGUAGGUAGGACCAUAGGAGAUAAGUUGGUGAUUGUAAAUCAGUCGUUAUAAGUUGUUUAUUGAGCUUUUCGUUCUUCAUCAAGCAAAGAAGCCUUUCUAUGAGUACCAUGACAACUUGAGCCUAUCUACUCCAUGAACCAACAAUGAUUGGGAACGAUAUACUGUUUCUCCUGCCUUAGCAUAUCUAUAUCUGCUGAUAGUAGUUCUACAAGCAUAGGCAUGUUAAUUGAACUUAGGAUUACAAAAGUAAUUAUGAAAUUAUAAGUUUUUGUUUAUUCCUUUUGAAGAUUGUUUUUUUCCUCUGUCCAACAUGACCCUAUUUUUUUUGCAGAAUUAAUUACUUCUUCAACAUUAAUCUUUUUUUUUACUUUAGAUCAUAGUUAUUCGGCUCUCUCGUCGUUAUUAUUUCUUGCUAGAGGUUUUUUCUGAUUUGUUAUUAUUUCUCAUGUUAUUUCAACCGGUAUGUAAUAAUAUUGAUGGCAUUUUUACUUCUCAAAAAAUAAAAAAGUAUUGGAUAACUAAUUGAAAUGCCAAUGUUUAAUUGAUUAAGAUUUGACUCUUUAUUCAUCUUUAGAUGUGGAUUUUUGACACAAGUGAUGGAGAUGCUCGUCUUUUACAGUUUAGAAGUGGUCAUAGUGAUCCUCCACAAUACAUGAGAGAGUUGGUUGAGUUUCUGUUCCUCAACUAGCUGAUCCAAGGACGCUUCAAAACCAGAAUACCUCUUUUCGCCAAGGGUGAUCUCAGCCCGGAUUGAAGAUGCUCGCAC